rnacentral:rRNA from 1 species
UACGUAGGGUCCGAGCGUUGUCCGGAGUUACUGGGCGUAAAGGGCGCGCAGGCGGCGGUGCUGGCCCGGCGUGAAAGCCCCCGGCUCAACCGGGGAGGGUCGUCGGGGACCGCACCGCUUGAGGGCGGUAGGGGCCGGUGGAAUGCCUGGUGUAGUGGUGAAAUGCGUAGAGAUCGGGAGGAACACCAGUGGCGAAGGCGGCCUUCUGGACCAAUACUGACGCUCAUGCACGAAAGCGUGGGGAGCAAACAGG